rnacentral:lncRNA from 1 species
UAGGUAUAUGGGCCCAGGAACAUGUCUCAUUCCAUCACCUCCCUCUGAGCAUCAGGGGUCACACUAGAAGGGGGUGGCCAUGGUAAUCCCCACUGAGCUUGGGGUAGCUGCCUUCUCAGAGGCCAUGCAGUGCUUUCUUCGUCAGAACCAUCACUAGAGUAAGUGAGAGUGUGGACUCUAGAAUGGACUUCCAGAAUUUAACUAG